AAUAGCCUAACGGCUGAACCAGCAACUUGGAGGAAUGUACAGCAAUAGCUAGUUGUAUUAUAUAAUGCAAUAUCAAUAAUCUUGAAUAAAAUUCUGGAUAUAAUUUAAUAAUGAUAUUUUUUAUCCAUAUGUCUUGACCAAAUUACGUGCCAGCAGUCGCGGUAACACGUUGAAGACUAGUGUUAUUCAUCUUUAAUAGGUUUAAAGAGUACUUAGACAGCAAACAAAGCUUUAGUAAGAACUAGUUUGCUAGAGUUACUUGUGAGGAGGCAUAAAAGUACUAUUGGUUUAGAGAUAAAAUUCUUUGAGACCACUUUUCGAAAGAAAAAAAAUGGCACAGGUAAAGACGAAGGUGUCUUCUUAUGUGAUAACUGACGUUGAAGGACGAAGGCUUUGAAUAGCGAAUAGGAUUAGAUACCCUAGUAGUCGAAGCAGAGAAUGAUGAGUGCCAUAAACUAGAUGAAAACUUAGUUUAUAAAUGAAAGUGUAAGCAUUCCACCUUAAGAGUAAAGUGGCAACGCUAAAAUUGAAAUCAUUAGACCGUUUCUGAANNNNNNNNNNNNNNNNNNNNNNUAAUUUGAUAAUCCACAAAAACCUUACCACAACUUGAAUAUUUAAAUUUACAAGCGUUGCACGGCUGUCUUCGGUUAAUGUCGUGAGAUUUGGUUAGAUCCAUUAAAUUAACGCAAGCCUUUGCUUUAUUUUAUAUAAUGCAUCUCGUCCAUCAUAACGGAUAUGAUAAUAUGGACUAAGACAAGUCAUCAUGACCUAAAUGUUGU
rnacentral:rRNA from 1 species